GUGCUCACUUCAGCAGCAUGUAUACUAAAAUUGGAAUGAUUAUAGAGGAGAUUAACAUGGCCCCUGUGCAAGUAUGACACACAAAUUUGUGAAGCAUUCGGUAUUUCU